rnacentral:lncRNA from 1 species
GUGCCUACUAUUUUCCUUGUCCUGCGAUAGGUAAUGGAGAUACAAAAUGAGUAUUUCAUGGGGCUUCUCGAAAUACAGCCCCCCUAUAGAGAGAUAGAGAUUUGUAAAUUAAUGUCUUAAAAUGUCUCAGGUACUCAUGGAAGUUUAUACAGAGCCCAGAGGAACAUGAGGAAGAGAAGGUUAAUUCUGGGAAGUGGUCAAAAUGCCUUCAUGGAACAGUUCAUCCUUGAACUGACUCUAGGAAUAUGAGGAGCUGUUUGAUCAGCAGAUGGAGACGAUGGGUGUGCAGAAGGGGAUGCAAUUGCAGCCAUCAAAGACACCAUUUUCAUCGAUGGGAAAGCCCUUUUAGUGUCCAGUUGUUGCCAAGGAAUUGGAUAUAUAACUUUUAGGAUGGAGCCAUGGUUCUUAGCUCGGGAGUGACUCCUAGGAGCCGGAAGCCCGAAACAGUGCAUCCCCAAUUGGGACAAAGGAUGUAAACAUGCAGUUCAUUCACUGCACAAGGUGACUGCCCCAGAGAAGUGGGCAGACAUCCAGCCCAAGUUCAUCUCAUCAAGCCAUGCACUCUGGUGUUUGCUGCUUCUGCCUCUGCAGGAGAUGCCUUUUACUAAUUCACACAGAGAUAUUAGAAUGGACUAGUUGCAUUCUUGGCCAUCAGGAAGA